rnacentral:rRNA from 1 species
UACGUAGGGUGCGAGCGUUUGUCCGGAAUUAUUGGGCGUAAAGAGCUUGUAGGUGGUUUGUCGCGUCUGCUGUGAAAAUCCGAGGCUCAACCUCGGACUUGCAGUGGGUACGGGCAGACUAGAGUGUGGUAGGGGAGACUGGAAUUCCUGGUGUAGCGGUGGAAUGCGCAGAUAUCAGGAGGAACGCCAAUGGUGAAAACAACUCGCUGGGGAAGUGCUGACGCUGAGACACGAAAGCCAGGGGAGCGAACGGG